rnacentral:lncRNA from 1 species
AAGAACAACAAAUAUAGAAAACUAAAUCAUCCUAUUAUAGAAAAGAAAAAACAAACCGUGAUUUACACAAGGAUGAGAAAGGUAAGUACGUGAACCAAAACUCAAGAGUAAUUGUCCCAACAUAAAAGCAUAGUUAUACAGAUCCUCAUAAUAUAGAGCUUCCCCUUCUGUUGUUUCACCAUUCUUUUUACCUUUUCAAAUCUCAGCAGCUUCUUCAUUCUUUCUCUUACUUUAAUGACUUCUCUAACUAAAAUAUUUGCACUAAGAAUUCACU